AGCCCGGGACAGCGCUGCACCUGUUGCCACGUGCGACGCGGCGCUCAGCGGCUGCCACUGCCGCCGGCGCACCUGGCUGCACCGCGCGUCCCGGGACCACGCUCGUCCCCGCAGGAGCCCGGGGCUCCGCCGCACCCAGCGCUAGGGCCCAGGCCGGGCCGCGGUAGGUGGGGGAUCUGACUCCUGCUUGCCUCUGGCCACCUGCAGGCCGAGGGGCCUCGCACCGCGGGGCGUAUAGAAGGUGGGAAGGUUGCAGAAUUAUCAGGGCGGAAGCUUGCAAGGAAGGAGUCGUGAUUGUCUCUUAGAAGGGCUGAUUCGCAGUCUGUAUUAUCUUCAUGCUUCUAGCAAGUUUACUAGCAAGUGUGUAUUAAAGGUUAAAGAAAGUAGCUUUCCAGCUAUUAGAGCUUGAGAUACAACGUGGAAAGGAGUCUAGAACCCCAGGGAGAUAAACUAGGCUCGACCUACUUUUCUCUAAACACAAACACAGUCCUUGCUGUUUGCUAAACUGAGCAAAUUUCAUCGACAGCUGUCUUCUAGGUCCGUAAAAUAUUUUCUUCUAUAAAGCAUAUUUUUAAUAGAAAACUUGUCCGAAGAUGCUAUUCUGCCUGUGAGAGAUGUCACAUUGCUGAACCGUGAAAUGUCAGACAACCUGAGAACAAAAUUUUAAUAUUUCCUUUUUAAUUACCUGGAUUGUGGUUUGCUAAAAGCUUUUAAAGAGAAGUGAACUUUUUUGGAGAAUAGACGUAAGGACUCUGUAUUUCACAGUUUUCUAUACCAUGAAUAUUAGAAUAACUGACAGAUGUCUUGCCAUUGAUAGUUGUAAAGACUUUUCAUAUGUACAAUGAUCCAUUAUUUCCUGACUACAAAACCCAGGGGUAUAUAGGUCAGAUUAUCUCCAUUAUUCAAAUGAGGAAUUGAAGCUCAGAAAGGUCAAGUGACUAGCGCAAGGUCACACAGCCAGUGAGGGCAAGUGCAAACCCAGCCAGCCUAACUCCUAAUCUUCUCUUUUAAUUCCAUUACAUAAUGACACCUCUCAUUUGCUUCAGAAAUCCCUGUUGUAAAGAUAGAUGCAACUAGCAUGAUCCGUGUUGUUAGGAAAGGCAUGUGAUUAAUUUUAAAUAGAUAUAGUAUUUAACACCACCAGAUGAGUCUCCCUCUGAAAAAGCACACAAAAACAAAACAAAACGCUGACAUAGUUUCCGCAAGUCACGAGGCAAUUAUGCUAAUUAGCAACAAGCCUCCAUCCCUAAGCAGAAUAGUUCUUGUGUGAAACAUAUCAUUUAAUCUUUAUAACCCUGAUGUGACCUAGAUGAUUUGGUCUAAACCCCACAAUCCUAUUGUGUGGCUUAGUUAUAUCUAUAAAUAUAGAACCUGUUUUACUUCAUUUUUGUGUCAGGUGGUUUGAAGGGGGGAAACAUACAAUGCUCUGCUAAGUAAUUAGAGCUACUUACGCAGGCAUUGGGGAAUCUGAAACUUAGCUUCUAAUUGUCUCCACAUAAAAACAGAAGUUAACUUCUAGGGACAUCUUCAGGGACUCCUCAAGGCAAAUAUUCAUGAAAUGGGGCCUAUUGGCUUUUCUUUUCAUCUUGGUUCUGGGCAUGUUGCCAUGUUCCUGAUCUCUGAACUCUGAUGCUGACCUGCUACAGACUCCAGGAGCAAUAUUAAGGAUAAAAUAAUAACUCACAUAACUUUGUGGCUCUUUAUUCUAAAAAAAAAAAAAAAAGUUGGCUCAAUUUUUUUUCCUCCAUAAGAAAAUGCAAAUUGCAACUGUAUUGAGAAACCAUUUUUUCACUUAUCAGAUUGUCAAAGAUUAGAAAGUUUGAUAAUCACAGUGUUGGUAAAAGUGUAGACUAGCAGUCACAAUGAAAAUGUAAAUGUAAAUUAUAAUGACCUCCCUAGGGGGAAGGUCAGGAUACCUAACAAUAUUGCAACUAUACGUAUAAGAGUUUAUCUUGGCCCUGCGUGGUGGCACGGUGACUCAUGCCUGCAAUCCCAGCACUUGGGGAGGCCGAGGCGGGCAGAUCACCUGAGGUCAGGAGUUGGAGACCAGCCUGGCCAACAUGGUGAAACCCUGUCUCAACUAAAAAUACAAAAAUUAGCCAGACAUGAUAGCAGGCGCCUGUAAUCCCAGCUACUUGGGAGGCUGAGGCAGGAGAAUCCCUUGAACCUGGAAAGCGAAGUUUGCAGUGAGCCGAGAUUGUGACACUGCACUCCAGCCUGGGCAACGCACCGCGACUCUGUCUCAAAAAAAAAAAAAGAGUUUAUCUUACAACACACAGGAGAAAUGAGUGAGCACAGACUAUUCCUAAACCACAUUGCAGUAUGCCAACAUUGUAAAUUAAUGCCUGAUUGGUUACCUAGAAGUAAGACAAUCUUACUUUUAGGCAUCUAGAACACUGAGAAAUCCAGGAUGGACACUUAACACUACCAAAGAUUGAUCUAUUUUGGAGUUAGUUCUUUAGAUCAGAGGUCCCCAACCCCAGGACUGCGGACUGCCACUGGUCUUUGGCCUGUCAGGCACCCGGCCACACAGCUGGAGUGUGAAAAAAAAGGAAAAAACUGAAAAUCUCAAGAGGAUUCCAGGAAAUCAAAACAAUGAAUUAUUGAAUCAAGAAUUUGAAAGAGAAAAUAGAUGCAUACUGAAAAAAGAAUUUUGUUUAGUGAGAUAGAUGUAAUAAUGAAGGCAUGUUGAUAACGGGGGAGCUAUGUAUAUAUGAGGGGAGGGAUAUAUUGGAAAUCUCUGUAUCUUCCUCUCAAUCUUGCUGUGAUCCUAAAACUGCUCUAAAAAAUAUUUUGAGAAGGAAUAAUGAUGUGGUAAACAUGUUCUGUUAUUUAAAAAGAGAGACUUUUCAUAGCCGCCUCCCUCCCCCUCUACACACACACAGAGUCCUGUCCGUCUUCAUUCCCUUACUCAAUAAUUUGUACAGACACAGCCACUGGGCUCCAGUAAUCCUAAAGUUUCUAGAAAAUCAAGCACAGAAAAAGGUUAAAACCCUGAGGGAAUAAAAGAAUUCCUUUGCAUCCAUUGCAUUUCUCAGGAAGUGAACUAACAAAUUCACUGCUUUUAAAUGAGGAAAUUUUCUCAGUGAAAUUGAUUCCAAACCUUCGUUAGGUCAACUGUUCCCAGAUUUCUUAGCUGAUGCCUGAUCUGACUAUUCCUUAUCUUUAGUACAGAAACCAAGGUGAAUGACCUUUAAAAAACAUAUUAGACUGUUGACGUGUCUUCUAUGUUGUACUCUAGGUAAAAACGAUAAACCAGGAAAAAGAAAGUAAAAUUCAACCUUAGGCUCAUGGAUCCAGAGUGGAUAAUUAUGAGUCUGUAGUAUCUACAUGCAUGUGAUGAGGUUCAAGGACAAUAACCAUAAAGCAAAGACUUAAAAGGUUUUAUCAUUAGAAUAAUUGUAAUUCACUUGAUCUCUCAAUGUAACAAUACUUCGGUCUACUGUCUCAAGCCAUUAUUAUGUCUUACACUCAGCAUAUUGGUUUGUCUACCAUUAAAUAUUUAUUUUCUACAGUGCUUUCUGGAAGGCAAACAAAGCAGCCACUCUGCUACUUUAUAUUGAUUCCUGAGUUGUCCUUCGGAAACGCUUUCAGGAAGUUUAAUAGGUUUGAAAGAUAUUUAGACCUGUGACUGGCAAAUAUACUUCCUUCUUUUUAUUUCAAUAAGAGAGUACUAGAACUUAGAUCUUUAUUGUUUAAUCUAGUCAGUGCUGUCAUUGUCAAUCAAGUUCUCAAAUGACACUUGUCCUGAGCUGUAACUGAUCUAUUCAGAAGAAUAUGAAAAUAGUAAAGACGGCAACUAUGCAUGUUUUUACCGGACACGAUUUUAAUUGCUUUAAAAUGAAGUUAUGCAACCAAUGAGGAAUGGAGCUUUUGGAGUGGCCUGAAGCUAAAGGUUUCAGGUGUAUUUUUGCUUUCUUUGAAGAAAGAACCAAAUCAUUUUAUUUAAUAAAAAGGCCAUUUAUCAAGAAUUUCUUAAAGCUGUUUUAAACCUGAGUUUGCAAUUUAUAGAAUAUGUUCAAGCAGCCUCAGUGCCCUUUUAAUUGGAUGGUUUUCACAGAUUUAUCCAAUUUGAGAUUUAUCCAGUGAGAAUUCCCUUUGUUCAAGUAUAUAUGUCUUCUCUUCCAUAAAGCAGAUUCAAAUGAAAGAGUGCAAUCUGAUAUAUCAGACAUGUCAGUUAUACAUUUGAUGUGGUAAAUUUAUAAGAGAGGCCAAUUAUUGUUAUGAAAAAAUACAAUGAAAUACAUGAUAGUCAUUUACUGUUUUUAUAACUAAUCUAAAAGUAUUUACUAAAAAGAAACUAUUUCUUUUCAUAUGUACUUUACUUUUUACUUUAACCCUUCAUAUGUCCUUUAAAUAAAGAGAAGAAAAAAAGUCAUUUAUAUUUAUCCACAUAUUUUCUAUUUCAGGUGGUCCUCAUUCAUUCUUGUAGAUCCAAGUUACCAUCUGUUAUUAUUUUCUUUGUCACCUGAAGAAUUUUCAGAACUAUUUCUUCCUAUAUGUAGCAUGUAUAGAUACUCUAAAAAGUCCAUUAUAUGAUGUAUAAAACAAAGCAUACAAUGUAGUCUCUGCCCUAAUUAUUUGUAA
rnacentral:lncRNA from 1 species